GCACAAUACUGGAUCUUCAAUGAGUUACUUUCUAUUUUUCACUCGGCAACCGGCUGCAGAUUUCACUCGGCCAACUUCGGUUACUCCUCUACACCAAACCAUGUUUCCAAACAGAGUUAUCUUUCCGUGACCCGCAAAUUAUAUUUUUAACAAUGAGUUGAAUUCUAUAGGAGGUGUUGGAACUCCCGCAAACAGUGCCGGUGGUGCAAAGAAGAAAUGGGAAACAUUACCAGACUGCCAGACACGCCCCAUUGAUAACAAAGGUCUGCCUGCUGCCGCUGUACACAAAACACCCAACCCAGAACCAAUCGAUGCCACAAAAUUGCCGCUAGCAGAAAAAAUUCGACGACUUUCAAUGUUUUUACGAAGUGAAAAAAAAGUAAUCAAUGAAAUUAUGUUGUUUGAGAAUUCUCUGAUGAGUUGUAAAGUUGGAAUUAGACCAGAUUUUUUGAUGUGGUGUGUUCCUAGCCAGAGCUAUCGGCAUCAACAAGAAAGAAAUCAAACUGUCAUGUUUCAAGAAGGCGGUGGAACUUUAUCGUACCCUUCCUGUCACUGAAAUUUUGAACCAGAAUGAUAUGACCCCAAAAGUUAUCAAGGAGAAACUGGAGAAUUUUAACUCGACCGUUGCUAAGAUGGAGAAAGAAACAAUUGCAGAGUUACCCCCACCAUCUAUUUUGAAACAGAUCCAAGAUAUUCUAACCAAUCCUAAAUAUGCUUCAACCAAUUCAGUCAGCAAAAUGGAGUUGGCGGCCUCUGUGGCUAAAUGUCGAGUCCGUUGUCGAUAUGAUGUAGAGAGUUGUAAAGCUGAAUCAGGGAAAGUUUAUCAUAAGGGAAUGUACUUUAUUGACAACAUACUACAAGGUGCAGGUGUUUCAGUUUCCAAAAAAACUGCUAAGUCAUUGUGUUAUAAUAUGGUGGUUGAACGACUGACCACCAUGAAUGUUGAACAUGGCAACAUCUUAGAUGGUGUCGAACAGUCUGUCAUAACAGAAGCAGAAGCACAGGUUCAGAGCACUUUGGUAAAGGCAGCACCAAAUCCUAGGGCAUUUGAUCUCCGUGAACAGUUUGUCAAAAUGAACGAACUUAGCAGUGCCACGCAUCCUGCAUCCAUCAUUACUGUCUUGGAUGGAAUUUUCAACGAUGUAAAAUUGACGCCCAUUUGUCUGUACCGUCGUAGCAUGAACACAGAAAUAGAAAAGGAGAAAAUUUUCUGUAACCUCUAUCUAGCUGGUCAUCUCAUCAUGAUUGGUGAAGCAGAGAACCGAACAGAUGCCCAAGCAGACGCUUACUCUACUGUUUGGACCUGCUUUCCCUCAUCAUAUCACACGCCAGAUUAACGGCUUACUGUAUAACCUCCCCGUUCCAGUUCGCUUUAUAAAUCAUUCCACUAGAAAUCAGAUGUACACCAUUGUAACGCAAAGUAUGUCACCGAUCAAAAUUGUCGCAUUUCUCAAAGCCAACGGUGGACAGUCUGGUCGCUUUCGUUUAGUCGACAAAUCAGAACUUCCGACACAUAAGGACAUUUUACCAGAACUUAAAAGUAGGGAAAUUUUAACUAAGAUCAAAUCCAAAUUUUAGUAGAAAUUUCAAUUUUGAUUGGCUAAGCACUAAAACCAAUCAAAUUGUUGGCUUUUUUUUGCUAAUAAAUAUAAGUGCUAGUCUAA